rnacentral:lncRNA from 1 species
GCUUCCUCUCUGCUUGCUCUGCUACUCUCUACUUGCUUUGCUCUGUUUCCUCUCUGCCUACUCUGCUUGCUGCUUGCUGUGCUUCUAUUUGCAUGCUCAGCUUUUGCUCCUCUCUGCGUACUCUGCUCUUACUCUGCUCCCCUUUACUUGUUCCACUCCUCUCUGAUUUUCCACCUAUCCUGAGUCCAGCUCCAGUAAUAUUGACAGUAAGGAAAUGGAUUUAGCUCCCCACAGAUUGGGGGAGGCACCUUUGGGCGAGUUACUCUCAUCUAUCUUGUGAGUUAUACCUAUUUUGCGCAUUUAUUCAUAAAUAUACAGUAUUGUACUAUAUUUGAUUUUUAUAUUGUAGAUCCACAGCUGUAUCCUCCAUAUUGUUUGUACCAGCCCUGCACUGCUAACAGAAACUACAAGCAGGAGCUCGUUGCUCUCAGACAGGAAGGGCAGAGAAGAAGUCAAACGUUCUAAUACAUAUAUUAAUAUAAAAAUACACUUAUAAUUAAAUUACACAUAUAUAUAUAUAUAUAAAUAUAUAUAUAAUAACUAUAUAUAUUGUAUGUAUAUAUAUAUAUAUAUAUAUAUAUUAUAAAAUACAAAUAAUAAGUAAUUUAAAUUAAAUAAAAAAAUGUAAAAAUAAUAAUAAAAAUGUAAAAAAUAUACAUGUCCAUAUACAAAAUUACAUAAAUAAUUAUAUAAAUAUACACGUAGACUUCAAAUAUAUAAAUAUGCAUAUAUAUUUAAAUUCUACGUGCGUAUUUAUGUAAUAUUUUUACAUAAUUAAGUAAUUUUAUUGAUUGCAAUUUGAGGGACCUGCCUGCCAGCCCAGGCCGAAAAUCCAGAGAAUUUAAUGUAACCCUGUAACAUUCUAGGACACCCUAAAACCUGUACAUGGGGGUACUGUUUUACUCUGGAAACUUUGCUGAACACAAAUAUUAGUGAUUCAAAUAGUAAAACAUCACAGCGAUGAUUUUCACACACAAACAGCACUUUUACUGAUGAUAUAAUUGUUGUGAUAUGUUUUCCACUUUUGAAACACUAAUAUUUGUGUUCAGCAAAGUCUCCUGAGUAUAACAGUACCCCCCAUGUACAGGUUUUAGAGCAUUUUUGAAAGUUACAGGGUCAAAUGUAUGGGUCAAAUAUUUUUACACUGAAAAUGGCCAGGUUGGUUAAGUUGCUUUUGAGAGCGUAUGGUAGCCCAGGAAUGAGAAUUACCCCCAUAUUGGCAUACCAUUUGCAAAAGAAGACAACCCAGAGUAUUGCAAAUGGGGUAUGUCCAGUCUUUUUUAGUAACCACUUAGUCACAAAAACUGGCCAAAAUUAGCGUUCAAUUUAGUUUUUUACUUUUUUCACACAAAAACAAAUAUGAACGCUAACUUUGGCCAGUGUUUGCGACUAAGUGGCAACUAAAAAAGACUGGACAUACCCCAUAUUGAAUACCCUGGGUUGUCUACUUUAAAAAACAAUAUGUACAUGUGGGGUGUUAUUCAGAGAUUUAUGACAGAUAAUAGUGUUACAAUGCCACUAUAGAUAAAUCUUAAAAAUGUAUUGAAACCGCAAUAUCCUACUUGUACUUAUAGCCCUAUAACAUGCAAAAAAAUAGGAAAAAAGCAUGUAAACACUGGGUAUUUUUAAACUCAGGACAAAAUUUUGAAUCUAUUUAGCAGUUUUUUCAUUCGUUUUUGUAGAUGAGUAAAAGAUUUUUCAUGUAAAAGUCAAAAAACAUGUAUUUUUUAAAAAUUUUCAUCAUAUUUAAAAAAAUUUUUUUAAAAUUAACCCCUUAAGGACCGAGGACGGUUCAGGACUGUCAUCGGCAUUUUUCCAUUGCCGACCGAUGACUGUCCCGAACCGUCCUAACGGUCACAUGUACUUACCCGAUCGCCGUCGUUCCCCCGGCGGCGAUCGGCAGGGCUCCCGUUGUGGGGAGACUGCCUGCAGCCCAGACAGUCCCCCCAAUAGGAAAUUGGCAAACCAGUGUCCCUACAUAUCAUAAAUAUCCCUGACUCUGCAGGACCCUCACCCAUUAUCAAUGUUACACUGCCUGGGGACCGAAUAGUCCCUUUCCUGUUGGACACUGGCGCUGCUAAAUCAAUGUUACAGGAAAAAUAUGUAUUCCCGUAUGAGAAAUCUAAUGAUGUAUUAUCAUGUGUAGGGGUGGAUGGUAUCGAAAAUGACAUUCCCCUUACCCACAAGCUGAAAUUGAAGCUACACGACUCUACUGCCCUUGUAACCAGGCUACUUGUCAGCCCUCAUGCCCCUGCUAAUCUACUAGGCAGUGAUAUACUGUCUGCUCUUAGUGCAAGUAUCCAGUAUAGCCCCACUGGAAAAGUAACAUUGUCUGUGCCUUUAGAGGACAAACAAAUUAUAUCUCUUUCAAAUGUUCUGGCAACUCUCACUAUGCCCAGCCAUGUGCCAGAACCUACCAUUGACUUGUCCUCGGUCCUUAUGAUUCCUUAUGGGCUACAGGGAAGACAGAUACAGGCAGACUCUCUGUGUGCUCCCAGUCAAAGUGAAUCUCCUGCCCGGAGCCAAACCUCCCUGUCAAAAACAAUACCCCUAAGCCCAGCACAGGAAGAUGCUAUUUCACAAUCUGUGCAAGAGUUUCUGCAGGCAGGGGUAGUUGUCCAGACCACCUCCCCUUGUAACACACCAUUGUACCCAAUUAAGAAAAAGCAAGAGAAAGGGAAACCUGUGGUCUACUGUAUGGUACAUGAUUUGAGGGCAAUUAAUGCCUAUCCCCUUUUGAGAUCCUGUUUGGAUGUGCCCCAAAGACAGGCCUCUAUUUUCCCCAAACCCUCCAGAUGCAGCAUGGUAGUAUGACUGCCUAUGUUCAGGCCCUACACCAAAGAUUAGGCAGGGUGCAUAAACAAGUCUUUGAUUCUAUUCCAGAUCCAGACUCUGAUUCUGCAACUCACUAACUGCAGCCUGGUGAUUGGGUGGUGAUAAAGAGGCAUAUGAAGAAAGGACUUGAACCACGCUUUGACGGUCCAUUCCAAGUGCUCUUGACUACGGCUACCUCAGUGAAACUAGAAGGAAAAGCCACGUGGAUACACACCAGUCACUGUAAACAAGUCACUCCGACUGAUCCUCCGACAUGAAGCUGUUCUUAUCCUUUACCAUUUUAUGCUGUGUUCAGAUAUGCUACUCUGACUUGAGACCAGAAAAUAAUAAUGCAUGGCAGGAAAAUAUGUGGUUGCAGAUAGCAAAGGCUUUUAAUUUAACCUCCUUUUGGCUCAACCCUCUCCUCAGUAUUGAAAACGCCAUAGAAACUUGUCUUAUAGCUGUCCCUACCCCCAUCUCACUGUUGAGGAAGUACCUACAUACCCAUAGACCCCAUAAAUCUCUACAACUAUAUUCUUAUGCCUUCAACCCACUGGUUGGCAAGCCUCCUCUAGCCCUGAAGACAAUCAAUGUGACAGGCGCUGAACUAUGUUGGUCUUUUUCAUGUAAUUGUUCAAGAGACCCUAAUACUGAAUCCCUGUUUUGCCCCACAUGGUGGAAAAAUACCACGAAUUGUAGAGCCCUGAGCACCACUAUGAAUUGUACCAAAACUCACCAAGUUAUGAGUUACCACUACAAUGUCUAUCUUCCUAAAGGAUGGACUUUCUCCUGUGGAAAUAUUACUUAUGCUUAUGUCCCAGGUAACAUUACAGGAGGUCCCUGUGCAAUCUCUCGCCUAACCAUUACCAUGUUUUCCAGAUCUGACCUGAUCACUAAAACCACCCAGCUACACAAAUGGCUGAGAGACAGGAGAGAUGUUAAAAACACCCUUAAUGCAGAUUGUAACCCUGAAAUCACUCUCUUAUCUAAAGCCGAAUACUCUGCCCUAGCGUACACCUUGGUAGGAGUCCCAGGCUUAGCAUUGUAUAAUACCCGAGUAGUUAAUGCUGUAGCCUGUUCCCUUGCAAAAGGUUUAAAUGCCACUUCACAGGCUCUAGAAGAGCUACUGAUGGACCACCAGGCAAAUAAGAAGGCAAUCCUUGAGAAUAGUGCAGCCAUUGACUACUUACUAAUGAAACAUGACUUAGGCUGUGAAGCUAUUGAAGGUAUGUGCUGUUUUAACCUAUCUGACCAUCAGUGGCGUCACUGGGGGGGGCCAGAGGGGGCCAUGGCCCCCCCUACAUCAUGCUGUGCCCCCCCUUGGGCCCCCCCAAAUGCCAGCAACUUGCUGGCCAUGGGCUUCCCUCGGACUGUAACAGCCUGUUACAGCCGGGGAGGGAAUGCAGGAGAGAGGUGCUGGGGGCUGUCUGUGGCUGGAGGGAGUACUGAUUAGCUCCCCAGCACAGGCCCCGCCCCCAAACAAAGCCCCGCCUCCCGCAGAUAAGCCCCGCCCCCGCCAUAAUGCAGCAGCCCAUGCUGCUGCAGAAGAUGGCUGCCUGACCCCCAGCAACAGACUCCACUGACAGGUAGGCUGGAGUUGGUGUGUUCACACACACAUUGCCCCCCAUACACACACAUUGCCCCCCCACACACACACAUUGCCCCCCAUACUGCCCCAUACACACACAUUGCCCCCCAUACACACACAUUGCCCCCCAUACUGCCCCAUACACACACACAUUGCCCCCAUACACACACAUUAUUGCCCCCCUAUAUACACACAUUGCCCCCCAUACACACACACUUCCCCAUACACACACACACUGCCCCCUACACACACACACUGCCCCCCAUACACACACACACACUGACCCCCAUAGGCACACACUGAGGCCCCCCAUACAGUCCCCCUCUAUACACACACACAUUGCCCCCAUACUGCUCCCCAUAGACACACAUUGCCCCCCCAUACUGCUCUCCAUACACACACACUGCCCCCAUACACACACAUUGCCCCCCAUACUGCCCCCAUACACACACACUGCCCCCCAUACACACACACUGCCCCCAUACUGCCCCAUACACACACACUGCCCCCCAUACUGCCCCAUACACACACAUUGCCCCCCAUACANNNNNNNNNNNNNNNNNNNNNNNNNNNNNNNNNNNNNNNNNNNNNNNNNNNNNNNNNNNNNNNNNNNNNNNNNNNNNNNNNNNNNNNNNNNNNNNNNNNNAUAAACACACAUUGCCCCCCAUACUGCCCCCCUUACACACACAUUGCCCCACACACUGCCCCCAUACACACACAUUGCCCCACACACUGCCCCCCAUACACACACUCUGCCCCCCAUACAGCCUCCCAUACACACACACUNNNNNNNNNNNNNNNNNNNNNNNNNNNNNNNNNNNNNNNNNNNNNNNNNNNNNNNNNNNNNNNNNNNNNNNNNNNNNNNNNNNNNNNNNNNNNNNNNNNNAGUCUGUGUGUGUACGGACUCAGCAGUCUGUGUCUGUACGGACUCAGCAGUCUGUGUCUGUACGGACUCAGCAGAGUCUGUGUGUGUUUGUGUAUGGACUCAGCAGAGUCUGUGUGUGUGUAUGGACUCAUCAGUCUCUGUGUGUGUAUGGACUCAGCAGAGUGUUUGUGUGUGUAUGGACUCAGCUGUCUGUGUGUGUACGGACUCAGCAGUCUGUGUGUGUACGGACUCAGCAGUCUGUGUGUGUAUGGACUCAGCAGUCUGUGUGUGUGUGGACUCAGCAGAGUGUGUGUUUGUGUGUGUGUAUGUAUGGACUCAGCAGUCUCUGUGUGUGUAUGGACUCAGCAGUCUGUGUGUGUUUGUGUGUAUGGACUCAGCAGAGUGUGUGUGUUUGUGUGUAUGGACUCAGCAGUCAGUGUGUGUAUGGACUCAGCAGUCUGUGUGUGUACGGACUCAGCAGUCUGUGUGUAUGUAUGGACUCAGCAGUCUGUGUGUGUGUGUGUAUGGACUCAGCAGAGUGUGUGUGUGUGUGUAUGGACUCAGCAGAGUGUGCGUGUAUGGACUCAGCAGUCUGUGUGUGUUUGUGUAUGGACUCAGCAGAGGGUGUGUGUGUGUAUGGACUCAGCAGAGUGUGUGUGUGUGUGUAUGGACUCAGCAGUCUGUGUGUGUGUGUGUGUGUGUAUGGACUCAGCAGUCUGUGUGUGUGUGUAUGUGUGUGUGUAUGGACUCAGCAGUCUAUCAAUAAUUAAAAUUCCUGUGAGUUGUUGUGUAGGAAGGGCCCCAGUGCAUUGCUUUGCCCAGGGGCCCUUAACUCUGUUAAAAUGGUACUGCUUGUGUGUGUCAGUGAACUUCUAUUUAGUGAGCAUGUGUGUGUCAGUGAGCUUGUCUUUAGUGAGCUUGUGUGUGUGUCCCUGAACUUCUUUGUAGUGAGCCUUCUGUUUAUACAAGUGAGUGUCUGUAGUAAGCUUGUGUGUGAGUCAGAGAGUUUAGUCUGUCAGUAAGUCUAUUUGCACAUGUCAGUGAGCUUGUGUGCUUACUGUAAUAUAUAUAUAUAUAUUUAUUUUGACUUGUAGGAAUGGCAUACGUUUUUUUUCCAGGGCUGCUUUGGAUUCCCAG